rnacentral:lncRNA from 1 species
AUGAAUGUGCUCAUACUUUAUUUUAGGCAGUGCAUGGGGAAAUGGAAGUUAAGAUCAAAGCCAAACCCAGGAGCUGCGCUGACUUUGUUUCAGUCAUCGAGAAGCAGAAAGGUCCUGGCAGCUACAUCUAUCCAUUCUACCUUUGGCCUCACUCAGUCAGCCCACAUUCACUUUCUCUCAACUAUCAACCAUCUCGAUUUUCUUCCUGAACUUGAGAAGUCGCAGCAAGCGUGGUGCAGGCGGCGGCGGCCCCGGUUGACGCGGGGUCGUGUCCUCAGACGGCGGCAGCCUGUUCACCCAUCAUGGGACUUUUGGGUUUCAGCAGAGCUAACCCGGCUAGUCAGCCGUGAUCGGCGCAAUCAAAGGGAGCGUAUGGCGCAUUACCGAAGAGGAUCAGCCUUGACUGGCAUCUCGUGGAGAAUCGCUUAGACACGGUGUCAUGGUCUUGGUGAACGUUGAGCACCAAUGUUAGCUCAGCACUGCUGUUUGCGCUGCCUCACAGAGCUGAUUAGCAUCCUGUUUUUAGCUAUGCACGAUUAGGAGAAAAUGCUAUUGAACCAGGCCAGUCAUACUGUACAGUAUGUUCCGUAUGUUGUAUAUGUCUUAUAUGUGCUGUAUCUGCUGUAUCUAUGUGUGCGUGUGUGUUCUCAAAUAUUGAUCUGCAGAUUAAAGUCAGUAGAAGGUGGGAUCACAGCUCCCACUCAGCAUAAUGUGCAGAUGAUUGCUCACUGUUAUUAUUUGGUUGAUAUGCAUGAAUCCUCCUUCUAGCUUCUCUUUUUCUUUUGGUCUUUUCCUGGUGAAUGCAUCUCCGUUUGCCGUUAUCUAAAGCCCCUCGCAGGCGGUUUGACUGUUCCUUUGUCUAUUACUAAAGGUUCUUUAAAGAUAAUGACUAAGUGAAGGCAGCGGUGUAGUCACAUUCACAGAAGCUUUGAACUGUUUUGUUUUUGUGGCAUCCGAAUUCCCUUCACCGAGCCUGUGAGUCAUCAUUGUGUGCUGAAUGAAAUCUGUCUACUUGGCUUUUCAAUGCUGCUCACGGUCAUAAUACUUGUCAACAUCGAGGCAUUCAACAAAGAAGCCGUGCCUCCUUCUGACAGAAAGAGUACAACAGGAUAGUAUCUGGAACUGGUGGAUCACAUACGCAAAUUAAAUAUAUUGCUAUUGUGUGUGUGUGUGUGUGUGUGUGUGUGUGUGUGUGUGUGUGUGUGUGUGUGUGUGUGUGUGUGUGUGUGUGUGUGUGUGUGUGUGUGUGUGUGUGCGUGUCUGUUGCUACUUUUUAAAACAUGUCGGUGUUGAUUUG